GUANGGGGAUCUCGGCAGGCCUAUACCAUGCAAGACGAACGGUAACAUGAGAGCUUGCUCUUGAUGACGAGUGGCGCACGGGUGCGUAACGCGUAUGCAAUCUACCUAUAACUGAGGGAUAGCCCAGAGAAAUUUGGAUUAAUACCUCAUAAUAAUAUUUUUUGGCAUCAUUAAAUAUUUAAAACUCCGGUGGUUAUAGAUGAGCAUGCGUUCUAUUAGUUUGUUGGUGAGGUAAAAGCUCACCAAGACUACGAUAGAUAGGGGGCCUGAAAGGGUGAUCCCCCACACUGGUACUGAGACACGGACCAGACUCCUACGGGAGGCAGCAGUGAGGAAUAUUGCACAAUGGAGGAAACUCUGAUGCAGCCAUGCCGCGUGCAGGAUGACGGCCCUACGGGUUGUAAACUGCUUUUUUA
rnacentral:rRNA from 1 species